CUCGCUCUUGCCGUGUCUGGCUGAUCGUUUUGCGUGACUUUCCUUCCGUGCUAUGCAUUCGUGGCGUAGUAUCGUGUCGUCGGCUCACGCUUGCCGUGACUGGCUGAAGCAGUGUCACUCAGUGUUUGGGAAAAGCAGCCUCCGGACGGAGAAGUCCCUGCAGUAAGCUUCGUUUCGUCGUGAACUUGCCUGAGCAAGAUGGCAGCGCAUGACGGAUCCCAGUGGCACCGACAGACGAAGCCUGUGGACGACGCUCCUACGGUCGUUAUAGAUUUCAGGUUGCUUCAAGACUGCACAUUGAAGCUCUACAGCUGCAUUUGACCAGGAAGCCUCCUUGGAAACUUCGUGUCUCGAGAAUGUCACCUGACCCUGACAUGGUCUGGGAACACGACACUGCCAAGCUCAUGCACGCAAGCUGUGUCACCUAUUGGGGUCCUGUAUCUCAGAUGACUACAUGAGAAUCCUGUACUACAUGAGAACUACACAUGUUGCAUGUUUUGCACUGUAUGCCACAUAAAAUAUGUAAUGGAUGUCGCAAAGAAGUGCUUGAUGGCUGGCCAUUGAUUCCUAUUCAUAAAAACUGACUGCUGGCUAUGCUAAUGUUUAUGCCAGGUCUAGUAUAUUGCCGCAUUUGACAGUAAUGAACGAUGUUAGCGAAACUAUUGCUUUUCAUAUCUCACUCAUUCUGACAGUAAUGUGUCUCGCUGUAUUUCUGGACGGUGUUUCUGUAUUUCAGUUCUGUACAGAACUCUCCAUACCACCGCUAAAUAUAUCUAUUUAUAUAUAUCAUACCUUAUAUAUAUAAGGUACUUGACACACGACGUACGUUUUAGCAUUAGCAUAGUGCUAAAACGUACGUCGUGUGUCAAAUGCCUUCCUACAAUAUCAGGACCUUCGUGAUCUUUCUGUAGCUCUUAUAUUUAAGGGUCAUUCCAUGCCAAGUGUCCCAGACGUGGCGCUCGCACAUCGCAGCUUUUGCUGAUAAAAUUUGUGCUUUUUUCCUGUGCCACAUGGAGUAUUGUGGCAAAACAUUCUUGCUCGAAAAAAUUUUUGACGGUCCUGGCACCCCCUCGAAUUUCGCUUCUAUUUAUUAAACUGUACCUAAUAGAAAAAUGUGUAUAAAAUCUACUUUUGUCUGUUGAGCUUCUAAACUGCGCUUGCGCUAUCGCAGAGGUUCUGUUUAGUUGUCCCAUUCAUUAUUUCCGAAUUUUUGUGUUUCACUACCAGCUACGUAGCUUCAAAAACUACAAAAAUCUUCAAAGUUCGUGAAUUUUUCUUGAGCUAUCUGGAACUCACCCUAACCAAUAUUAAUAAUAGCCUGAUUUCCAGGAAAGUGUAUUUUAGUACAGAAAUGUUUAGGGGUAAAAUAGACUUCAGAUCUUUCCGAAAAAAAUUGUGAAAUUAGAGAAAAUGUACGAUUUGUUGCAUGUUUGACCAUAUUUUUCAUACUGAUGCGGUCAAAGUAAAAAUCCUCGUCAUGCGGCGUUUGAUGACUUCAUCGUUAAGUAAUGAAAAAAGUCUUAUCAAAUCAUUUUUUUCUUUUAAGGAAGAAAAUAAUUUUUGAAUUUGGCCCUCCGAACGCGCAGUGCAUUUCAUUUUGUUGCCACUUCGCCGCAAAGCACGUGGUAGCCCUUGCAGCUGACACUCGUCACAGGCAACGGCCAGAUGCGAGAUGUAUGUCAGUGGCUUGUGAGUGGUCGAAAGUCUUGUCACGUUGAUGUCAGGGCGACGAGUAAUGAAUUCGCAUUACAAUGUGAGCUUGCUUGGCGGGCCCAAUGGGAAGUAUGGACGCCCGAGAGCAGCCUAUGGCGUCGUUGGCACAUUGUGCUAGAGGCCGUCUG